AAUUUUAAUUAAGUCCAUAUGUACAUAGCACACAGGUUCCGGGAAGUUUUACACUCCCACCUAGGACUCUACUAACUCCCGUAUUCGGAAAAAGAAGAACAGUUAGUAUAAUAGUCCCAGUAAAUACACUGGAAAUUUCAGUAGACGGAUAUUAAUAGUAAAUUGCUUGAAAAUCUCCACAAAUUAAUCAUACAAGUAAGCUAAGACUUCUAUAACACGUGUAUUAUAUUAGAUUCAGAAAUUAGGUAAGAUUUUCCUUGUACGAUUUAUUUAUUCCCGACGAUUUUUAAAUAGUAAUCGGUGAGCGUAAAAGUCUAUAAUCCGGAAAAUGAUUCGGAGUCGGUUUUCAUGUUAAAACACUGCUGAGAUCUAGAUCUUGUGACGCAGACGACGAAAGAACGCUGCAGAACAGAUUAACAAGAACCUUUGUAUAUAACAGCUUCAAUGCCUUCAUAAUCAUAGGAAAAGAUGUGGUCUGCCAUUCAGAAGAUGGUUUUCAACUUGCCCAGAAAAUUGACUACAACUUGUGAACUGUCAGUGUCAAUCCAACCGCACAUACAACUAUCCACCACAGCCUGCACAGGCUAAGAACAAUGUCAAUAAUGAUGUCCCCAACGAAACGCCAACGGAAUUGGCUCGUCAGACGUCAGUGAAUGAGACUUAUGACUUUAUGUUCAUGAUUUUCAACAGAACUAUUAAAAAGAAAAAUGGUGCAGAUCAACAGUAUCUGGGAAUUUACUCAUAAAGAAAAGAGAGCUGGAGACUCAAGAGAGGCAGGAAAAGAACAGACCAGGGAAUCACAGAUCCAUAUCAGAUAAUAAAAUUGAAUCGAAAAUUUAAA